CCUUGUACACACCGCCCGUCACACCAUGGGAGCGGGUUCUGCCAGAAGUAGUUAGCCUAACCGCAAGGAGGGCGAUUACCACGGCAGGGUUCGUGACUGGGGUGAAGUCGUAACAAGGUAACC
rnacentral:rRNA from 1 species